CAGUAGCCGCGGUAAUGCAGAGGAUGCAAGCGUUAUCCGGAAUGAUUGGGCGUAAAGGGUGCGUAGGCGGUUUGACAAGUUCUAUGUGAAAUCUAUGGGCUCAUCCCAUAGUCUGCAUGGAAAACUGUCAGGCUUGAGAAUGGGAGAGGUGAGUGGAAUUUCCGGUGUAGCGGUGAAAUGCGUUGAGAUCGGAAAGAACACCAACGGCGAAAGCACUCUGCUGGGCCGACACUGACACUGAGAGACGAAAGCUAGGGGAGCAAAUGGGAUUAGAGACCCCAGUAGUCCCUGUCUCUUAUAC
rnacentral:rRNA from 1 species